AGAGUUUGAUCAUGGCUCAGAACGAACGCUGGCGGCGUGGAUAAGACAUGCUAGUGGGACGCUGGCUGUCGGGUAGCAAUAUUCGGCAGUUGGAGUCGCGUAAGGGUGCGUAACACGUGGGUAAUCUGCCGCGAAGAUCGGAAUAACUUGCUGAAAGGCGAGCUAAUACCGAAUGCGAUAGCUAAAUGGCAUCAUCUGGCAAUCAAAGUCGGGGACCGUAAGGCCUGACACUUCGCGAUGAGCCCGCGACCUAUCAGCUAGUUGGUGAGGUAACGGCUCACCAAGGCUAAAACGGGUAGCUGGUCUGAGAGGACGACCAGCCACACUGGAACUGAGACACGGUCCAGACACCUACGGGUGGCAGCAGUCGAGAAUUUUUCACAAUGGGCGAAAGCCUGAUGGAGCGACGCCGCGUGGGGGAUGAAUGGCUUCGGCCCGUAAACCCCUGUCAUUCGCGAUCAACACCUGCAGCCCAAUACGUUGCAGGCUGAUGGUAGCGGAAGAGGAAGGGACGGCUAACUCUGUGCCAGCAGCCGCGGUAAUACAGAGGUCCCGAGCGUUGUUCGGAUUCACUGGGCGUAAAGGGUGCGUAGGCGGUCAGAUAAGUCUGACGUGAAAUGCCGGAGCUUAACUCCGGAAUGGCGUCGGAAACUAUUUGGCUAGAGGAUUGGAGGGGGGACUGGAAUUCUCGGUGUAGCAGUGAAAUGCGUAGAUAUCGAGAGGAACACCCGUGGCGAAGGCGAGUCCCUGGACAAUUCCUGACGCUGAGGCACGAAAGCUAGGGGAGCAAACAGGAUUAGAUACCCUGGUAGUCC
rnacentral:rRNA from 1 species